AAUAAGUGCAGUUUUACAUUAUUCAUCUUCAACGUUUAACCGUUCGUUUUAUUUGAAAUUUUUUUUAUGAUUACUAUUUUUAUUUUUAUUGUUAUUAGAUGAUAAAACAUAAAUAGUAUAGUAAAUUUCAUAAAUUUUUUAAAUAAGACAGACGGUCCAACAUUGCACGUGGAUUUUUACGGCUGCACUUAUU
rnacentral:pre_miRNA from 1 species